rnacentral:rRNA from 1 species
AGUAAAUAGAUACCCGGGUAGUCCACGCCGUAAACGAUGUCGACUUGGAGGUUGUGCCCUUGAGGCGUGGCUUCCGGAGCUAAACGCGUUAAAGUCGACCGCCUGGGGAGUACGGCCGCAAGGUUAAAACUCAAAUGAAUUGACGGGGGCCCGCACAAGCGGUGGAGCAUGUGGUUUAAUUCGAUGCAACGCGAAGAACCUUACCUACUCUUGACAUCCAGAGAACUUAGCAGAGAUGCUUUGGUGCCUUCGGGAACUCUGAGACAGGUGCUGCAUGGCUGUCGUCAGCUCGUGUUGUGAAAUGUUGGGCUAAGUCCCGCAACGAGCGCAACCCUUAUCCUUUGUUGCCAGCGGUUAGGCCGGGAACUCAAAGGAGACUGCCAGUGAUAAACUGGAGGAAGGUGGGGAUGACGUCAAGUCAUCAUGGCCCUUACGAGUAGGGCUACACACGUGCUACAAUGGCGCAUACAAAGAGAAGCGACCUCGCGAGAGCAAGCGGACCUCAUAAAGUGCGUCGUAGUCCGG